GUAGGGUUGGGGUUAGAAUUAGGGUUGGGGCCACCGCUGUCAGGGCCCCAGGUAGGGUUGGGGUCAGGGUUGGGGUUAGGGCCUUGAUUAGGGUCAGGGCCCAAAAUCAGGUUGGGGUCAGGGUUGGGGUUAGGGCCACAGGUGUGGCCAAGAUCUAAGUUAGGGUUAGGGUGUGGGCUGGGGUUGGGGUCAGGGCCUAGAUUGGGUUCAGAGUAGGGCUAGGAUGGGAAGGCCGCGCCUCCCCCGGGUGGCAUCAAGGGAAAAGGAAGCAAUACUAAUAUAAAUAUUUCAUUUAUAUGUGGGCUCCAGGACGAGAGGCAGCCAUGCAAGUGCUGUUGUCAAAAAUAAGUGCUUAAAAGACAUGCAUAAUAAAAUCCACAAAUUCACAUACACAUAUAUAAGAUCAAAAGAAAGGGAAAAAGAAAACUUUAUUCACAUGAUUAGUGAGCAAUUCAUCAAAAAGACCAUUAAAGGUAAAUCAAUUCAUUAUUGCCUCUCCCCUGGCCCCCCCAUAUAUAAAGUGCUAAUCCCCCCUCUAUCCCCCUUCACCACCAGGAGGAGCCCCACCUCCCCACCCUACCCCCUCCUUUCAUUAAGCCCCAAGGGUGCAAUUGUUCUUAACUUCAUUAUCCACACUCUUUCCCUCAUCCUCCUCUCCCCAUUGGACCACCCGGGAUUACUUUCCAAGCCUGACACCUUUAAACCAGAAACCGGAUGAAUUUGAAAAUGACUGGUAAGUUCAGUCUGUAGAUGAAAUCUUUGGAUGUUAUACAAGUGCUGUUUUAGCCGUGUUGCUAUGGUAUGCUGCGUCUCUCCUAUAUAAAGCUUGCCACAGGUGUUGCAGGUAAUUGCAUAAAUCACACUUCUGUCUGUAAUUGAUAUCUUUUUCCAGACUGGUGCUCCCUCCCCACUGUACUUAUUUACCAGAUAAGAACUGUGUUGAAAAUAUCUACGGACCCAUAAUUGUGAGUUAUCUAUGUUCGACGGUACACUGGACCGUACCAGUAGGUCCUUUAAAUUCUUGUUUCUCCUGAAGGCCGCAAUUAUUCUAUAUGGCUGAAAUACCGGUAAUUGAUUCUGCACAUUCCUAAAGUUAUUCCUAAUUUUUGAAAUCAAUGUUUUAUUGGACUCCGAAUAGGUGGUGAUAAAGGGAACGAUGUUCGUUUCAUCCUUCCUCUGCACCUGGGCCAAGCCUUUUAAAACUUCAGCUUUUGCAUAUCUUAAUAGCCUCUUCGAGUACCCCCUGCCUCGCAGCGCUUUAAACAGCGUCGUCGUGGCGAUUUCAAAAUCUUCCUGGAAGGUACAUAUUCUGUGGAAUCUGAGUAUCUGUGAUUUAACUAGGCCUUUAAAUGUAUGUUUAGGGUGAUAGCUCUGUUUAUGUAGCAAAGCAUGAGUAUCUGUACUUUUGAAAUAAACUUUCGUGGCCAAUUUGCUAUUAGCCGACUGUUGCGCAGUAAAGAAGACCGUGGUGUCUAAGAAAUUCACGGACCUCGAAUCCAGUUCAUAUUUCAACUUUAUUGAAGGAUGUCCGAUACGAUGGGUCGCCCCGGCGGGACCUCCCCAGGGACCGUCCAUGCCUUCGGAUCUUUAUGGAUCUUGGGUAAUAAAUAGAAGAUUCUGUUUCUAGAGUUCCCUAAUGGCUGCUCUCUGUACAGUAGAGAGAUUAUCUGUACGGGCUAUGGAACAGGCAUGGAUGUCCCUCCAGAGGUCCCGCCGGAUAUCCUGGUUGGGGAGAGGAAUAAAGGUUAGGCCUCUCUCCAACACUUCCACCUGUGCCUCGGAGAGCUGAAAGGUAAGUGAGAGGUUAAGCACAUUACUGUGUUCCAAGAGCUGGGGAGAUCGUGACCGCUUUUCCCCCCCUAGAAGUUUAACUGCCGGCACCAGUGCUGAAAUAUCCUAUUUGCCGUGGUUGGAGUCC